rnacentral:lncRNA from 1 species
CUUUCCAUCACGGGCGGUGGCAUUUGACUCUCUUCUGGGCUCGUCCAGAGCAUCAGAGCUACAUGGUUGUGGCAUCGUACGGCUUUCUGGCCGGCAGUUUCUUAUGCGUAAGAAUAGUUCUCUUUGCGUAGGACUCUCCUCCAUGUUUGUGUCUGAUAUUUGUGUGUAUGUCUGUCUGUUUGGGGCUGGAGCUGCUUUGCCUGUGGGUGUUAGCAGUGGUAAUGUGCAGAGUGUGGCAGUGAUGAACUGGAAUGAUGAUUAGUGAGCUUCUGUGUGCUCCACCUUAUGUUAUUUUUGUAGAUGUGGUGCAGCAUUCCCAGCGGGCCCGAGGGAGAUGGAGGAAGAAAGGGUCAUGCCCCAGGAAGGUGAGCUAGAGAUUUGUUGCUGGAAGCAGAGUCUUGUGGUCAGCAGUUCCCUGGUUAAUUUUUGCUUUGUGCUUGUAGGUGUGGAGCAACGUGGAGAGUGGGUCGCUUGCAUGCAGGAGGAGCACGGCAAGGUGAGUGUCAGUCUGAGAGUGGAAGCAGAGCCUAGCAUGGGCCUGUUGUCUCGUUGGUGCUGUCCCCAUUGCCCACUGCUGUUCUGGUUUUACAGGUGGGUGGCAGGCCUUGGCGUGGUGACCUGUAGGCCAUGGCGGUCAGGAUGGGCGUGCAGAGCAGGUUUUGCUGGAAGUUGUGGAGAGGAAGUUGAGUGCUGACAAGAGCCUGAGCAGGUACUGCGUGGGCCUUUCCCAGGCAUGGUUGAGGAUGUCAGGUGAGCAGACUGGUGUUGGGCGUUGUAGGGCUGGUGAGCACUGCCUAGCAGAAGAGUCACUUUGUUAUUUUGUUUUUUGCAGGUGCUGCGGGCUCCCUCUGGGCACAAUGUUGGAGUUGGGAAUUGGCACAGUGCAGGUGAGAAGAGUGCCCAUGGGGUUUUGACGUAGAGUGCUCUUGCAGACGAGGCUGGAGCUGACUGGCCUGGGGGUGACCGCUUGCGCUCCAUUUUGGCAGGUGAUGAAGGUGAAUGUGGUGACCGGAGGAAGAUCAGAGAGGAUGCGGCUGUCAUUGAGAAUGUGUCUUGAAGACAGAUGGUGACCCAGAGCACUGCAGAAGCUAAGUUGAGGGGCCCUGGGUGUUGGUAUGUCUUGACUGUGUGUGUGUGCGUGUAUGCACUGACAGUGAGUGUAGAGUGGAGGGCUGUUCUGGAUGAAUGCUUUGUGUGAGGCAGAGGUGAUGGGGUGUGCAUGGCAGAAGGUGAGGGUGUUCUAGGCGGGGCAGCUCCAGCCUGUGUCUGUGUUGUUGUGUAGUCUAUGUGG